AUUCAAGGCAGUGAACUUGUCUUCAUCUGGUUAUGCGAGAGCCCUUGGGCUUUCUACUGCUUCAAGGUAGAAUUUAUAAGAUGUGGAUGGUGACUGAGCCACUAAUGUAAACUUGUAUCCUGAUUGUUUUAAAAACAUGUAUUAUUGGCCUGGUUCAUAGCAAUAAUGAGUUUUCAGUUCCUGUCAUCAAAAGAAAGCAACAAGAGGAGCAAAGCAAACGCCAGAGACAAUUGAAUGAAAAUGAAAGCAGGAGCAUUCAUUACCUACGUGGGAUUUUGACUCUAAAGCAGCUUUCUGCAAUUUCUGAUCACAGCUCCCCUUCAUAUUUCUCAACUUACUAUAUCAAUAUUUAUACAUUUUGGAUAACCAGCCAAUAUUGUACAGCUAGAU
ensembl:lncRNA